AAGGAUCAUUACAAAUCCAUCACGUCUCUCUUUUGAGACCACGUUGAAAUGUUCCCCAAGGCAUAUGGGGGCACCCGGGAAGGCGCUUCGUCGUCCUCCCGAGUGUCUCUCUACUUGGGCUUACAAUCAUCAAACUAGUCUUCCUGUUGCACAAUUGUAUCUGGAUUUUCAUCCAUUCAAAAAUGAAAAACUUGUACAACUUAUAACAAUGGAUCUCUAGGCUCUU
rnacentral:misc_RNA from 1 species